AUGAACGCUAGCGGGAGGCCUAACACAUGCAAGCCGAGCGGUAGAGAUCUUUCGGGAUCUUGAGAGCGGCGUACGGGUGCGGAACACGUGUGCAACCUGCCUUUAUCAGGGGGAUAGCCUUUCGAAAGGAAGAUUAAUACCCCAUAAUAUAAGAAGCGGCAUCGAUUUUUAUUGAAAACUCCGGUGGAUAGAGAUGGGCACGCGCAAGAUUAGAUAGUUGGUGAGGUAACGGCUCACCAAGUCUACGAUCUUUAGGGGGCCUGAGAGGGUGAUCCCCCACACUCGUACUGGGACACGGACCAGACUCCUACGGGAGGCAGCAGUGAGGAAUAUUGGGCAAUGGGUGGGAGCCUGAUCCAGCCAUCCCGCGUGAAGGACGACGGCCCUAUGGGUUGUAAACUUCUUUUGUAUAGGGAUAAACCUACCCUCGUGAGGGUAGCUGAAGGUACUAUACGAAUAAGCACCGGCUAACUCCGUGCCAGCAGCCGCGGUAACAC
rnacentral:rRNA from 1 species